GACGAACGCUGGCGGCGUGCUUAACACAUGCAAGUCGAACGGAAAGGCCUUUUCGGUGGUACUCGAGUGGCGAACGGGUGAGUAACACGUGGGUGAUCUGCCCUGCACUCUGGGAUAAGCCUGGGAAACUGGGUCUAAUACCGGAUAGGACCGCACUUUAGUGUGUGUGGUGGCAAGUUUUUUCGGUGUAGGAUGAGCCCGCGGCGUAUCAGCUUGUUGGUGGGGUAAUGGCUUACCAAGGCGGCGACGGGCAGCCGGACUGAGAGGUUGGUCGGCCACAUUGGGACUGAGAGACGGCCCAGACUCCGACGGGUGGCAGAAGGGGGGAAUAUUGGACAAUGGGCGCAAGCCUGAUGCAGCGACGCCGCGGGGGGGAGGACGGCCUUCGGGUUGGAAACUCAUUUCGGCAGGGACGAAGCGUUUUGUGACGGUACCUGGAGAAGAAGCACCGGCUAACUACGGG
rnacentral:rRNA from 1 species